ensembl:lncRNA
GUUCAAAGGUUCAAAGAAUUGUACUCUGUCCUCAGCUCUCCUACACUGCUCUCCAGUUUCCAACCACCUGGGUCCUAUUUUUUACUGCCACACUUUUAGGAAGACUCAUCUGUAGACAAAGCCUACAUUUCUUUACUGUUCCCUCAUCUGCAGAUUUUUGGGUCCCAUUACACAGGGGGACAAAGGAAACCUACCUGUGCCUAUUAAUGGGAAGAGAGUGAAUCUCAAAAUGAAAAAAUCAUCUGUGACUUCAAAGAGAAAGAGCUGACAGCAAGAUAUUUGAAUUAAUUAAAGAAAUACAAUGCUGUUCGUUGAUUGUACAGCCUCUGGGAGUCUCUACACGCUGGCUCCUCUAAAAGAUGUGUCUCAAGAUUCAGACGGUAAGUAACUGAAAAUAUGUAGAAACCUAAG